GGUUUUGUUUGUAGCCUAACGUCCAGUGGCAAAUGUUUCAUUCAUGUUCAGAUCGAGUAUAUUUUUCUGACGUUCCAGACUCCCAGAUUAUCUACGAGAUAAUGCAAAUGUAGCCUACAUAGUUUUUUUACGUUUAACAACACUUUUUUCAUUAAUAUCCCAUAAUUCAUCCACUGUACAAUUUUCGUUUGAACAUUUGUCAAAACAGAAUC
rnacentral:lncRNA from 1 species